rnacentral:lncRNA from 1 species
UUCCAUGUACUCAUAAACAAGUAUCAUCUCAUACCUUUCAUCACAAUACCCAAUUAAGGAAACAAGGUGUCGAUGACGAAUCUUUGACAAAACCAUUAUCUCAGUCUGAAAUUCAGGUAGUCCUUGACCUGACCCUGGCUCACUUCUUUUCACUGCAACACUAACUCCAUUCCUGAGAACUCCCUUAUAAACAAUUCCAAAACCACCCUUUCCAAUUAUCCUCUUUGCAUCAAAGUUAUCCGUUGCGAAUUGAAGAUCAAGCAAGGGGAUUUUCAAUCCGAGGUUUAUGUUAGGUAAAGGGGAGCCUUGAAUUGCUGUUGCAUCAGUUAAUCUGCUGUGAGAACUCCCUCCUCUGGCAGCUGGAAUUGGCAACCAUUCGGAAUUUUCAACAGGCCUUUGUUUCCUGAUUUUACUAAUCCAAAGAAACAAAACCACCACAACCAAAACCAAAACUAAACCUCCAACAACCGAACCCACCACCACAGGAAGACUAACCUUCGAAUCCAUAUCAUCCGGGGGAAUUUCACUAGAUUGUUCAAUCACUUCCAUUAGUUCUAGCCCAUUUAAAAAUGCAUUCGGUAUGGCAGAUUUGUUCGUAUCAGUAAUAGGUACAACUGUAACCUUCAACAUCCCAGAGCCAUCGGAUUGAACCACGAAAUCAUAAUAAUAAGGCAUCUGUAUUGACAGGCUAGUGUCAUUAUUGAUAUAUACAACAUAACUGUCAUAAAUGAAGAGAUUGAAAGUUGUAAGAGCAGACUGUCGAUCACUAAAAAUGUCACAGAAAUGAAGCCUGAGGAAAUGAUCUACAGUUUUUUGCACAGGAACACUCCAACUUAUGUUUAAACCUUUUGAACCGUUUGCACUCUCUUGGCCAGUUUUAUAAACAAUAUCUGGACCAAUAUAUAUACUUGAAUUUGGACCAUCAGAUUCAUCAUUUGCAGCGUGUUUAAUAUCACCAAAGGAACCAAUCUUCGCAUUUUGUGGAUUAGUUAUGUAUCUGUCAUCUCGUAACCAUUCUCUUGAUAAUGUAUCGGCUUCUCUAGUGACAUUAUCACCGCCUACGUUAAGACGAUGUUUCGUUUCCAAAGCUCGUUGUGAGUUUAAACCGCCACUAUAAUUAGAUAAGCCUGGAGAACUAGAUUCUUUGUAAGUAAAACGCAACACUGAAUCAGGGAUUAAAUGAACGGGGAGCACAAAGAGUUCUAUUGCGUUAACAAAUGCGAGUGAUGAUUUUUGAGGUGUGAAAGUGAUUUUGAAUCUUUUUCUGAUGAUUUGAACGUAGUAUUCUUUUACUAAAGGAGAGUUGGUGGUGUUUUCAGCGUUGAAAUUUUGUAACAGAAUGAAACCAGGAACUGAAACAGUGAAUUUUGCAGUGGAAAGUUUAGUUGGUGUAGAGAAUGAAAGGAAAUGGAAACGUACCAUAUAGGUGUUGUUUGGGAUGGUUUUGAAUUCGUACCAAGAUUCGGAACGGAAAAUCCUUGCAGUUUGGUAGAGAGAUGAAGGAACUGAUGAUUGAUUUGUUUCUAUGGAGCUUUUGCUGAAACUUGUUAUAGGGUAAAUAUGAUGUUGAGAUUCUCCUAUAUAAACUUUGUUACUUUCAUUAGUAACAUUGUUGUGUGAUCCACAACUGAUGAAGUAACCAUGUUCAUUGUAUCCGAUGGAGGGGAAGUAUAAUGAUGAGAAUUGAAGAAGAAAAAUUAGUAAAAUGAUAGACUGUUGAAUUGUCAUUGGGAGAGAUGUAAGUAAACUAUGUUUGUGUUAUGAUUUUUUUAAGCUGUGAUGACUGCUAUUCAUAGAAGUUAGUACAAGUAGGCAGUGAUUGGGUUUCAGUGCAGUCGAAAUCCACUGCAGUUAUAUAGUCAAUAAGCUCGAGACCAUUGAUCAAGAUUGGAUGGAUAAUCCAAAUUUAAAACUCAGUACUUUAUAUUAAACAGAAAUCAAAAACUAUUUUGAGAUUUGAACCGUCCGAUAAAUAUUGGACGGUUCUGAGGUGCCGACUGCACCUGACUGCAUAAUAAUGUGACUGCACUUAAUCCAAUUUCAAGUAGGGAGGGAGAAGCGAAGGAGAACCAAUAAAGAAUGGAGUUAGAUAAGAGGAAGACUUUAUCUUUCAAAAGUAGAAGACUUUAUCUAAGGGGAACCAAUGUGGCCUGUGGUUCUUUGAAUUUUCUUCUUCUUUGUUUGUUUCUCCUUUUAAUUUUUAUUUAAUAUUGGAAGUUGAUUUAUCAAUGGAACUACGUUUGAGUAUGGAGAGCAGAAAAAUCUAUAUCGAACGAUAAAAUUUGCCACAAAUUAGAAGUGGAUAACUUAAUGACUAUUUGCAGGUAAAAUAAAUGGAUAUAUCAAUUACUCAUUACUUAAUGGACAUGAAUUUUGAUUUAAUAGUGUAUGCAUAUGCGAAUAUCUGUAUUCGUUAUUAAACUAAAUAAAUUAUAUAAAUAUUAUUAUUUAUUUUCCACUUUGGUUAAAAGACAUACACAUUUUUUUACGAAAGUUGAUGAACUUUUUGUUGUUUACAAAUAAAAUGUAUAGAUAUUGUUAUAUAUGGAUUUUAUUAUUGGCAAUUUCUACAGUACACUUACAAAAAUUGAGUGUACCGAUACACUCAUAUAUUAAAUGAGUAGUUUAAUAAAUAUUUUUUUCUUAGAAAAAAAUUUAUUUUCUAUUAGUUACAAUUAUAAUAAUUAUAUUUUAUUUUUCAAAAGUGUCGGCAAAUCAAAAUUUAAAUUUUUUUAAUUUUUAAUACUCAUAUUGUUGAAUAUUGAUUUUUUUUUGGAUAAAAUGUUAAAAAAAUUAGUAUGAUUUUUAUAAAUGAUGAAAUGAUGUUUUUUCUUAUGAAAUGAUAUUUUUUAAAAUAUAAAAGUCGAUAAACAUCUCUUUAUUACAUAAAAAAGAUUAUUAACUUAUUGAAUUAUGAAAUAGGUGUACCGGUACACCUUAAUUUAAAGGUGUACCGUUUAUUAUUAUGUUUUACUAAAAAUGAUUGGUUGGUUGGGAGGAUAGCCAUAGACGCACUUGUGCUAAUAACUUAUUUAUUUAAAUGCUGCUGAAAAUGAAUUAAGAGGCUGCUAAUAAUGCAGCCAAAAUAAGGCACUGGAGUAGAGUCUAAAUAUCUCUCCCGGGGCAUGGAAAUUUCCAAAGUGGCAUGAUUUGUCGUGACGUUCUUAUAAUGGAAUGGAGAAUAAUUUUGUGGUUCCAAAUCUAAUUGUCUAUAGUAGGGUGCGUUUGAUAUGUUAAAAGGUAUUAACAUGAUAAAACAACACAAAACAUAAAAGCACAAAUCAAAAAAAUAUAAAUUUUUAUGAUAUUGAAUAAUUUUAUUAUAAAUUUUUGUCGACAAAAGACUAUUUUGGUGUUUUCGACAAUAUAUAUUUGAGACAAAAAGUUGUGCUGUUAUUUAGUAAGAGACAUAGAGAAACUUUAAGAUCAAACAUUGUACAAGACAAAAUUUAAUCAAUAUCAUAAUAUUGUCAUAUCAAAUCGUACUAAAUAAACUUUGUUAGAUUUAAGUUCCGCCUUGUCAGCAAAAUUUAAAAUCUAGAUUUGAUCUUCUUAAAAAUCAGACCUGAAUUGUUAGCAUACUUAAAAACUUAUUUCAUAUACACAUAUUUAAAUAAAUAAUAUAGUCUAUGUUUAACAACUAGAUUUCAAAUUCCCUCAAAAAAAAAAAAAAACUAGAUUUUAAAUAAAUAAUAACGGUCUAUGUUUGACAACUAGAUUAAUAAGCUAAUAGUCUAAUGUGAAUGAACUUCACUUUGAUAUUUAACAUGAAAUUUGAGCAAGUCUGAAAACGUAUAAUAUCGCAUUUCAAUUCUAAUUUAUAAUAAUAUUCUUGUUAGCUUAACUUAGUUGGUAGAGUUAUUUGAUAUUAUAUGUAGGGUUAGGAUUCGAACCCCGGACACUCCAAUUCUUUACAUUUAAAAUAUAUGAGCUCUAUCUACUAAACUACUUAAAAAAAUAUGAUAAAAAAAUUAAUGUAGAUUAAUAAGAUGAAGUCACAAUAAAGUUAGUAAAUUUCCUUAGAAAAAAAAAAUAGUAAAUCGAUAGCUUUAUCUAAACUUCAAGUCCUAAUAUGAUAAUAGUAGUAAUGACAAAAAUUGAUUCAUAUUUUCAUUUUUUUUUAGAAACUAUUUGUAUAUUCUUAAGUAGGCUGGUAGGUAUAAUAGACUUCUUUUUACGUUAAUCAGGUAUCCUUCGUGCGCAACUGCAGAGACUGAUCUCUUGAAUUUUGUAAGACCCAAAUGGAGGACAAAUUAUCUAACUUUUUCGUUAAAUAAGUUUUUUUUUCAAAUUAAUAUUAUCUAUUUAAAAAUAAAGUCCGACUUAACAUAAACCUAAUGUAAACUAUAAUGUAGCUUCAUGUUAGUCAAUCUAGAUUAUUACCACCUCUAAUGAAGGUGAGAGAUGGAUAUUUGUACUUGCAGUGAGUACAAUAUCUAAAACUAGGAUUUAGUUUGUUUAGGUAUGCUUUGAGAAUGAUCUCAAGGUGGAUAUUUAUAGCUCUCUUGAGCUUAUGUUUUCCUGACUUAGACCCUAAGUAAAUUAAGCCUUAAGUCAAGAAGUGUACGUACUAAAUGCUUCUAAAUUUAUUUUUGUAUUUAUUAAAAAAAAGUGAAAAUUGAUUUUGAUAUUUCUUUUGUUUUUGUUUUUCUUUGUAUUUCUAUUCAUCCCAACAAUAUAUUAUUUCUACUCUAUUUUUUUGUCUAUUUCUCUUAUCUUAUAUUUCUCCGUUUUCCACUUCACUUUUAUAUUUCUUUCACACCCAAACAUAGUGUUAGAGAAAUGUAUCACUAUAUUUUUCUUCUUCAUUUUUUUUAUAAUGAAAUGGGAUGCUGAUGACUCCACAAUAUCCUAAGUGGGUUAAAAUUAAAUUAGAAAGAGUAAAAAGACCAUUGAGGACAUAAAACCUUGCCAAAUAUAUAAAAGAAAAAAAAAAGAAAAAGAAAAACCAAAUGGGUAAAACAAAACAACCCUAGAAACCACAAAUCCCAAAACAAUCGAUCGCACACUACUAGCACAAUCUAGCACACUUGCGUACAAAUAUAAAACCAAAUUGCAAAGAAAAUAAUAAUAAAAAAAAAAAAAUAGAGGUGUGUGGUGUAGCCAGUGGAUCCAAAUCUUGAUUACACAAGUGUAUCUGAUCGCCAACACCUAACGAAUCCAAGCACCUAAAGUAUAGUGUCAAACAACAGCAAACUCACGUCCAUUUCUAGCCACGACCAUUUAUAGUCUAUCAAUCCAAUACAUCAGAGACGGGUCAGAUUAAGAAACAUAGGUACCUUCGAUACAUAAAUGUACGCAGUUUCUACCAUCUUUUAUCAUUGAUUAAUCAUUAAAUCUUCAUGGAAGAAUGUAUGAGACACACAAGGUGUAGUUCCCCCUUUAAUCGAAUUUUCUCUAUAUGCAAGAGUCAAGGAUCCAUGUCUGUCGCUAUUUGCAUUAAUUCAUUUUUUAUUAUUUUAUUUAGUUUUUGACAAUGUGCGUUAAUCCAUUAUUGUAUCUUAGUUUCUCUCUUAACUUUGCUCACCUGCAAGUAGGAAAUGGUGAUGGUGAAUAAAACAGAAUUGCAAUAUAGGUAGGAAUUAGUAACAUCACAAUCCACAAGGUGAAACCAAAUGAGGUGUAUAGCAUUUCUGUUCACAUAAACAAAUACCCUAUUUGUGCUCAUUGAAUUGAACUGGUUUGAAUUCAUCAUUCUGGCCUUCUGACCAAAUGAGGAUAGAAAGGAAUGUAUUCAAUAGUUGCUAGGUCAACAGACUCUUUUCCUUUGUAAAAGGUAACUGAUUUGUUGAAAGAAAAAUCCAUCAUCUAAAAUUAUUAAUCAAUCAUGUUAAUCACCGGAAACAUUUGAUCAUUUUUAGUUAGACUUAACCUUAAACAACGAUCCACAAUAUAUAAUUAUUCACGUAUAAGUCCAAUAUUGAAUUAAUAAUCCAACAUAAUUUGCAUGCCAGAUGCCACUGAUACCUUAAAAAGGUGAAGGAAACAGAAUCAUAUACUAGUAUAUGGCCUUGCUGGCCAGUGUAGAAUAUUGGUUCAAGCAUUCAAAUAAGUGAUGUAUAUAAUGCAGCUAAUUACCAAUGGUUUAUUGCAAUCAUCAAAAAUAGAAAUCAUCAUUAGUCUUACAAUUAAGAAUAGACCAACAACCAUAACCAAGUAUGAAAAAUACAAGGAAACAAGGACAAAAGAGGGAAGUGAGCCAUCUAAUAAAAACAGCUCCUCCACUUACUUGAGACACUUGUGAGAAAACAUGAAUAUCUAUCUAGCAUCAUCUAUUUUCAACUGAGAGAAAACAGAAUCUGCUGCACUAUCAGAUUCAUCAAUAACUCUACCAAUAGACAUAGACGUGUCAUCCCCUUCACUCAGUGUAGACAGAGAAGGCAAACGGCGAACAUUAGGCAAUUGAAUUGAUACAGAAGCACUGCUAGAACUAUCCUCAUGAGGUUCUCUAUGUACUGCACCUCUCUGAAGCUGCAAAGAAUAUUCCAAGUCCCACANGUUUCUGACGUGGUCUAUUUGUAUUGGAGUAUAACAAAAAGGGCAAUGAUGAUUUAUAUGCUUUUAAACGUACUAACACGCGCCCCCAAUUUGUCAUUAAUGCUUUGUUUGUUUGUCCCCUUUUGAAUUGCAAUCGUUUUUUACUAAAAACACUUAGACAAACACACACUACUCACUUCACAACUCACACUUUCAUUUGCUUUUCAACCUUCUCUACGAAGUAAGCGCAUUCCCUCUAAAACCCUAGAAACCAUUUUCCUCUUCAAUCAAUCAAAUGGCUCCAUCUAGUUCUGCUCCUGGAUCAUUAUCUAACAAGCAACAACAAGAAACUCCAGCCUACGAGAUUAAAGGAAGAACCAUGUCCUUGAAGGGAAUGGGAUUUGAAAAUCCAGAUUGAAUGUCCGGUGGAUUUUAAUUCACUAGCUGCUCACAACUGUGACAUUGGUGAAUUCUACAAUAUUCAAGGCUUGGGAAGUUACUUCAACUUCUUGAAUGGUCCAACUUAUCAAACGCUAGUGCGACAUUUCUGGGUCAAGGCCAGCAUCUUUGAUCGAGAAGCUGCAAAGAUUGAAGAAGAUGAGAAAGUUCUUCUCAAUCUAGAACUGAAAGGAAAGUCAAGAAAAGAAAUGGGAUUGGAACCGUUCUUAAAGACAGAAAUAAGGUCAAGCAUCAUGGGGAUUCCAGUUCGUAUUUCUGAGGAUGACAUUGCUUUUAUUCUCAGAAGGCCAACUACGGGAGAAUACAAAGCUGGUAUUACAAAAGUCAAAGAUAGUCCCUGGAAUGAAGUUGUAAAUCAGACUAUCUACAACAAAGCAACUAAGGGUGCGUAUUCUGAUAUGACUACUCAAACCAGAAUGAUGUUGAAGAUUCAGAACGAAAAUCUGCUACCAAAAGGUGGUGGUAGUGAUCAGCCUUCACUGGAGCACAAGAUCCUCCUUCACUUUUUCAUAACAGGUGUAAAAGGCAAAUGUGCCUAGAUACAUUUUCAGGCACAUGGUACAACAGCUCAGAGAAAGCCAGUUGAAAAAUAGGUGCUGGGUACCCUAUGGAAGGCUUCUCUCUGAAAUCUUUCAUCAAGGAGGUAUUCUCAAUCUUCUGAAGGAAGUAGAUUUCUUCACUGAUGAUCAGCUGGGCACUGUAACAGGAAAAAUCAUCAAUGGAGAAACUUUGAAGUUCAUGCAUUUGAUCAGUGUGAAGGACCAUAAGAAGCUAAGCACAGAUAUGACAGAAUCUGAUGCUAAAUCAGCUAUGAUGACUGAUUUUCCUCCAAUCUGCAAUCAAGACCCUCUGGAUGUUCAUAUGCACUACAUCAGUGAUCAUUUUGAAAGGACUCAGGUCAAAAUCAGCUUGAAGGAAGUACCUGAACAAAUGUAUGGAGGUGCUCUUCCUGUUGCCAAGAGCAGGAAGACAAAAACCAAAGCUUUAACCAAGGAAGAUUAUUUGGUAGAAGAAGCUCCAAGAAAACCUUCCAAGAGAUCUAAGAAAUCUGAUAAGAAUGAUGUUGCAGCACCUAAACCCAAGAGAGGUAAAACUGUCAAGACUGAAGGUUCAACUGUUUCUGCUUCUGAGGAAGUUAUUCAGAAGAAGAGAAACAAAGAACCAGAAGUUCAAGAUGCUGCUAGGGAAGCUGCUCUUCAAGCUAUCAAAAGCAAAAGAGCAAAGGGAGAAAGAAGUGUUCAGGAGAGAAUGAAGGAAGCUGCUGAACAGCUAAGAAGGGAAGAAGCAGAUCCCAGUCUGAAGGAGGCUCAGAAGCCUGUGUCUUUGGAAUCACCUUGCUUUAGACUCACCUUUGAGCAAGAACAAAUGACUAGGGAAUAUGCUGCUAAUGAGUUAGCCAAAAGGAGGCAUAUGGCUGAACUCUACAAGAGAGCUCAAAGCAGCAGGGUAUGAACUGGAUGCUGAGAAAGCUGCUGUGAUUGUUUCUCUUGCUGCUGAGAUUGAAGAACAAACAGUUAAGGAAGGAACUGCUUUGUUAAAACAGGCUCUGAAAGCUAAGAAUGUUUCAGGAGCAAAACCUUUAGAACCAGCAUCAGAAGUUGCUAGAUCAGAUGCUCAACCUUCAGGUAUUUCUUCAGGUCCAAAAGCUAACAUCAAUGUUCAGACUUUUAACUUUCCAUCAUCACCCUCAUCAUCAUCUUCCACUGACUCAGAUGACAUUCCUCUGAGUCAGCACAACAAACAAUGCCUACCAAACUUUAAACCCUCAAAAACAACCUCUUCCAAAACCAUAGAUUAUGAACAAAUGCAAAUCAAUUUCUCUAAACAGAGGAUAAAAAUCUGUGAGAAAUUGCCUGCUGACCAUUUCUUCCAACCACCUAUCAUAGAACCUUUAAAUAUCCAACACCCAGAAAUCAAUUCAACACCACAAAAAGCCUCUGAAGUAGCUUCAGAAGCAGCCACUUCAGAAGACCCCCAACAACAUCAAACCUCAACCCUUCAUAACCUAGAAAAACACUUAGGAGGUGAGAUGCAACCAACACCUACAAAGGCCUCUGAAACAGUCCCUGAAAAGACUGUCUUAGAAAACCAACCUGAAACCUCAACCAUCCCUGAGCAAAGUGUUCCUGAACAAACUGUUUCUGAACAAGUUGCUUUUGACCAAGAGCAAAAUGUUCCUGAACAAGUUGCCUCUGACCUACUCCAAACUAACCCUGAACAACAAACAGAAAAUCUUAACCAAUCACCAACCCACAAUCAAACAACACCUGAGCAACACACAACUUCUGACCAACCAUCUCCAUCUCAUACAACAUCCAUUCCUGAACCUUUAUCCACUCCAGAACCUAUACCCAUCCCAGAUACCAUUCUAGAGUCUGACUACAUUGAUGAAGAGCUUCAAAGGAUCAGUGAUGAAAUUCAAGGAUUUGUUCUUCUCAGAAAAGUACCUUCUCUUUCAAUUCACUAUAUAGAUCAAUGGAUGAAUCUGAAAGCUGGGUUGAAGAAAGAUUUUGAUGAGUUGCUGGAACUAUUAAGUGAAAAAUGCAUAACAACUCAAGCUGAAGUGCUUAAGAAGCAUCUAGAAGAACUUCACUCAGCAGAGAAAGAGAAUGAGCAAGAAUCUCUACUUCUGUUAGCCAAUGCUCCUUUCUUUCCAGAAAGUGAUUAUGUCUCAAGAGGUGACAGAAUUCUUCAAGGGCUGAAAAGGAGGCUUAGGGCUAAGAAUGAAGUUGUGAAUACUCUGGAAGAAGUUGUGAACAAGCAAGCAGAAGAACUCAAGAAUCAGUCUGAGCAAAUCAAGUACUUGAUGGAACAAGUCUCUAAACUAGCCAAACCAUAGUUGCACCUAAUUUUUGCUUGUUUAGAUUUUGUUUUUCAAAUUAGUAUUAACUUGCUCUGAUUGUGUAUCUUAACUUGCUGAUUAUGUAUCAUUCAAAUGCUUCUGAAACAAUUGCUGUUAAUCAUUUAUGCUCUGAUACUUAUAUUAUUUUGUGUAUCUUUACAGUUUUUCUCAUUGUUUGCACUAACUCUUUCUUUUGUUUUAUUUACUUUUUGUUGAUGACAAAAGGGGGAGUAGUUGUAUAGUAUUUUUAGGCUCUGAGCCCCAUUAAUUUAACUUGAUUAAGUAAACUUUUUGCUCUGAACCAUUUUCUAAACUUUGUUUUUUUUAAUACUUCUGAAAUUUCAUUAUCUUGUGCGCAUUUUAUUGAAAUUUAAUUAACGAGUAUAGAACUCAGGGGGAGCUUACAAACCUCACCUUAAAGAUCUAUUAGACUCAGGGGGAGCUUACAAACCUCUUACCUAGUAGNCUAAGUGUCCCCUUUUCCAUGUACUCAUAAACAAGUAUCAUCUCAUACCUUUCAUCACAAUACCCAAUUAAGGAAACAAGAUGCCGAUGACGAAUCUUGGACAAAACCAUUAUCUCAGUCUGAAAUUCAGGCAGACCUUGACCUGAUCCUGGCUCACUUCUUUUCACUGCAACACUAACUCCAUUCGUGAGGACUCCCUUAUAAACAAUUCCAAAACCACCCUUUCCAAUAAUCCUCUUUGCAUCGAAAUUAUCCGUUGCAAAUUGAAGAUCAAGCAAAGGGAUUUUCAAUCCAAGGUUUAUGUUAGGUAAAGGUGAGCCUUGAAUUGUUGUUGCAUCAGUUAAUCUGCUGUGAGAACUCCCUCCUCUGGCAGCUGGAAUGGGCAACCAUUCGGAAUUCUCAACAGGCCUUUGUUUCCUGAUUUUACUAAUCCAAAGAAACAAAACCACCACAACAGAAACCAAAACUACACCUCCAACCACUGAACCCACCACUACAGGAAGACUAACCUUUGAAUCCAAAUCAUCGAAGGGAAUUUCACUAGAUUGUUCAAUCACUUUCAUUAGUUCUAGCCCAUUUAAAAAUGCUUUCGGUACAAAAUCCGACACAUUAGGUUGUACGGUAACAUUCAGGUUCCCAGAGGCAUCGGAUUGAACCACAAAAUCAUAAUAAUAAGGCAUCUGUAGUGACAAACUUGUGUCAUUAUUGACAUUCACAACAUAAGUGUCAUAAAUUAAGAGAAGGAAAUCUGUCAGACCAGACUGUCGAUUACUAAAAACGUCACAGAAAUGAAACCUAAGUAAAUGAUCUACGUUCUUCUCUACAGGAACACUCCAACUUAUGUUGCUAGAACCGUUAAUACUCUCUUUGCCAGUUUGAUAAACCCUGUCUGGAGCAAUAUAUUGAUUUGAAUUUGGACCAUCAGAUGUAUCAUUUGCAGUGCGUGGAAUAUGAACGUCAAAGGAGCGAUUCUUAGCGUUUUGUGGAUUAGUUACAUAACUGUCAUCUGCUAACCAUUCUCUCGAUAAUGUAUCGGUUCCUCUAUCGACAGUUUGGUCACCGACGUUAAGACGGAGUUUGGUUUCCAACGAUCGUUGUGAGUGUAAACCGCCACUAUAAGUAGUUAAGCCCCGACCAGUAGAACCGAUGUAAUUGAAACGUGCUACUGAAUCGGGGAUUAAAUGAAGAGGGAGCAUAAAGAGUUCAAUUGCAUUAACAAACGCAAAUGAUGAUGUUUGAGGUGUGAAAGUGAUUGUGAAUCUUUUUCUGAUGAUUUUAACGUAAUACUCUUUUACUAAAGGAGAGUUGGUGGUGUUUUCAGCGUUGAAAUUAUGUAACAGAAGGAAACCAGGAACUGAAACGGUGAAUUUUGCAGAGGAAAGGUUAGUUGGUGAAGAGAAUGAAAAGAAAUGGAAACGUACCAUGUAAGUGUUGCUUGGAACGGUUUUGAAUUCAUAGGAAGAAUUGGAAAGGAAAAUUCUUGCUGUUUGGUUGAGAGGUGAAGACACUGGUGAUUGACUUGUUACUUUGGAGUUACUUUCGCUGAAUAAUUUUUUCGGGUAAGCAUGGUUUGAUUCACCAAUAUAAAGGUUGUUAUUUUCAUUCACGUCGAUAUCUGAUCCACAAUUGAUGAAGUAUGUGUCUUGAGGAUCGUAUCCGAGUGAGGGGAAUUGUAAUGAUGAGAAUUGAAGAAAAAAAGCAAGGAGAAAGAUAGAGCGUUGAAUUGUGUGGAAGUGAAAGGUUGACAUGGUGAGAGAGGAAAAUUGUGUUUGUUUGAUGAUUUUUUUUAAGUUAUGAAAUUGAUGAUUGCUAUUCAUAGAAGUUGGUAGAAGUAGGGAGUGGAGAAGAGAAGGGGAACCAAUGAUGAAGAAGACAUAGAUAAGAGGAAGACUUUAGCUGUGGACUGGUUAAGUCGUCACCUUUGAAUUUUCUUAUUUCUUGUUUGUUUCUCUCUUUAAUUUUAAAUAUAAAUAAAAUAUUUGAAAGUUGAUUUAUCACCUACCAAUACCAUGACUAUAGUAUAACACACUCUCAAGGUGUCAUUUAAUUUGGGAAAGGAUAGUUCUUUUUCACCAUGGGAAAGUUGAUCAUAUCCAUUAGAUUAAAUGAGGAACAUAUUCCUAUCAUACUCUCUCAACCACUAGAUUAUUUUUUUAUACUAUCUUUCGCACUCCCUCUUUCAUGUCCCCACACACCCAUACCACCACCACUAAAUCACAAAUUCAACAACCACUUUUACCACCACUGCACCACCACACACCACCAUGGUUGCUGCCGAAAAACUUGUUAGCGUACCAUUUUCAAGGAUCAAACAAAAAUUGUCAGUCACAAUUUAUGAUUGCACAGGACGAACACCUUCAGAUAUUGUAAAUAAUACGAAGAUCAUUAAGUCACAAUCACUUGUUCUUGCUUUGAGUUAAUGGCUUUGUUCAGAAUGUCUUCCAGAUCCAUCAAUUGCUUUUAUCAUUCAACAUUGAUGAUAUGAUUAUGACUUUAAUCACUUACGCGUACAUUGUAUUUUAAGAAAAUUUAAUUAUGUUAUAUUUUUCAUAGAUACAUGCGCAGAUCCUGAAAGCUACUAAUUCAUUUCUCUAUUGGAAGUAUCAUACGGUUAUACCUGCUUUUGUUUUUGUUUGAUGUGUUGUUACCUACACCAUCCUAUUAAAUGCUGAAAACCAUUUUCACAGUUCUUGCAACAUUGAGGAGCAUGGGAGAACCUGUUAGAAUGAUCCCUGAGGCACUAUCCAUUAUGAUUCACACCACCCAGAUAAAGAAUUUUGAAGAUCCAUGGCAGAUUUGGUGGUGGUGCGGUGGUGGUCAAAGUGUGUGAGAACAUGAAAGAGAGAGGGUGGAAGAUAGUGUAAAAAAUAAUUUAGUGUUGAGAGAGUAUGGUAAAGAUGUAUUCCUCAUUUAAUCUAAUGGACAUGAUCAACUUUCCCAUGGUGGAAAAGAACUCUCCUUUCCCAAAUUAAAUGGCACCCACUUUGAAACCCUUUCUUUCUCUCUCUUCUCUCCAUUUCAAACCUGGUCAUCACCCCUUUCUUUUUCUUCUAUUUAGAGGGGUGAUUUAGAGUCAAUUUUGACCCAAAAAUCAAUUGUUUUUCCUUUUAUCCUAAUUGAAUAAGUGAUUUCACAUGUUUUCUGUUUUCUUUCGUUUGUUUUUAUGAUUUCGUCAUCUCUGAACAAAUCUAUUUGUUUUGAUUUUCCGUCUUUGUGCGGUGUGUUUUUUAUUUCUCGUCUUAGUGCGGUGUUUAUUUGAUUCAGGUUGAAAGAUUAGUUUUUGAGCAAGUGCAGAUCCGAUCAAUGACAAUGACUUUGACGUCGUCAACGUUGCAGAUCCGAAAACAUGAGCAUUUCGAAGACAUAAAUAUAGUCAUAUUAGUCAUAUUUGUAGGCAUAUGUAAUUUGCCGUUUUAUGCUAUUAACAUGGAUGAUGUGAGUUUGCUCACAGAUUUAUCCUUAUUUUUAGCGAAUUUAGAUUUGUAUUGUAUCGAUAUACUCUAUCAAUAUGAUUGAAUGAAUAUCGUUUAUUUUUAAAAAAAAAUGACUAUAGUAACAACACAUUAAAAAAAAAUGGCUAUAGUAACACUAGAUGAUAUAUGGUCCAAUAUUUGUUUAUGUUUUGGUUCGGCUAAAAGUCCUAUAACUUAUCAAAGGUCUAAAUUAUAAAGUAAAACACAACAUUCUCCCUUAUGGUUAUAUAAGGAGAGUUUCAUCACAGUUUCAAGUAAAAAUUUGUGAGCCUUUUUAAUAGAUCAAGCAAAGGGAUUUUCAAUCCAAGGUUUAUGUUAGGUAAAGGCGAGCCUUGAAUUGUUGUUGCAUCAGUUA